rnacentral:rRNA from 1 species
AAUAUUAACCCACACCCACCCCCGCCAAGGUAUUACGAGCCCAAGCUUAAAACCUAAAGGACUUGACGGUGUCCCAUCCCCCUAGAGGAGCCUGUUCUAUAAUCGAUUCUCCACGAUUUACCCCACCGCCUCUUGAAUACUCAGCCUGUAUACCUCCGUCGUAAGCUUACCAUGUAAACGCACUCAGUGAGCUCAAAGGUUAAAAAACCAAAACGUCAGGUCAAGGUGCAGCCCACGAAGCGGAAAGCAAUGGGCUACAAUUUCUAAACUAGAACAAACGAAAGGCUGCAUGAAAUACAGCCUCUGAAGGCGGAUUUAGCAGUAAAAAGAAAAUAGAGAGUUCUUUUUAAUUAGGCACUGGGACGCGUACACACCGCCCGUCACCCUCUUCAAAUAUUUUAUAUGCGUCAUUAACACUAUACCCCCCCCCCUAGAAGAGGUAAGUCGUAACAUGGUAAGCGUACUGGAAAGUGCGCUUGGAACAAAGUGUAGCUUAAUUAAAGCAUCUUGCUUACACCAAGAAUAUGUCUGCUCGAUCCAAACCACUUUGAGCUAGAAACUUAGCCCACUUCACCCGCAUGAAACAACUCUGCUAACAAAACUAAAUAAAACAUUUUAUUAAAUU